rnacentral:rRNA from 1 species
CCUACGGGUGGCUGCAGUGAGGAAUAUUGGUCAAUGGUCGGGAGACUGAACCAGCCAAGCCGCGUGAGGGAUGAAGGUACAGAGUAUCGUAAACCUCUUUUGUCAGGGAACAAAGGCGGGGACGUGUCCCCGGAUGAGUGUACCUGAAGAAAAAGCAUCGGCUAACUCCGUCCCAGCAGCUGCGGUGAUACGGAGGAUUGGAGCGUAAUCCGGAUUUAUUGGGUGUAAGGGGUGCGCGGGCGGUCUGUUAAGUCAGCGGUCAAAGCCCGGGGAUCAACCCCGGCCCGCCGUUGAGACUGGCAGUCUCGAGUGGGAGAGAAGUAUGCGGAAUGCGCGGUGUAGCGGUGAAAUGCAUAGAUAUCGCGCAGAACUCCGAUUGCGAAGGCAGCAUGCCGGCUCCACACUGACGCUGAGGCACGAAAGCGUGGGUAUCGAACAGGAUUAGAUACCCCAGUAGUC